rnacentral:rRNA from 1 species
AUUGAACGCUGGCGGAAUGCUUUACACAUGCAAGUCGAACGGCAGCACGGACUUCGGUCUGGUGGCGAGUGGCGAACGGGUGAGUAAUGUAUCGGAACGUGCCCAGUCGUGGGGGAUAACGUAGUGAAAAUUACGCUAAUACCGCAUACGAUCUUUGGAUGAAAGCGGGGGAUCGCCAGACCUCGCCCGAUUGGAGCGGCCGAUAUCAGAUUAGGAAGUUGGUGGGGUAAAGGCCCACCAAGCCAACGAUCUGUAGCUGGUCUGAGAGGACGACCAGCCACACUGGAACUGAGACACGGUCCAGACUCCUACGGGAGGCAGCAGUGGGGAAUUUUGGACAAUGGGCGAAAGCCUGAUCCAGCCAUUCCGCGUGCAGGAUGAAGGCCCUCGGGUUGUAAACUGCUUUUGUACAGAACGAAAAGGUUUCUACUAAUACUAGGAGCUCAUGACGGUACUGUAAGAAUAAGCACCGGCUAACUACGUGCCAGCCGCCGCCGUAA